UACGUUCCUUGAUUUGGCACUGCAAAGGUCCUCAUGUGAGAGUGACCAAUACGAGGAAAGGUUAUUUGUAUCCAUGAAAGGACAAGGCAUGAUGCUCCCACCAACUUCUGCCGGUGGUGUCCAUGCCUUUGAUUUUAUCACUUUGGGUUACAGAGUAGAUUGGCCAGUCAGCAUUGUCUUGACCAUAGAUGCACUUAAACUAUACGCUGACAUUUUCAGUUUUCUGACUCAAGUUAAGCUGGCUGUUUUUUCACUCACUGAUAUAUGGCGCUUGCUGAAGGUUUUUCUUUUUGAAGAUUGAAUAUUACUAAAGCCCAGUCCUUGAUGUCCCCGACGACCAACCCGAAAACUCUUGAGGGCAAAAGAUAUUGUUGAAGGUUUGGAGAUUCCUUUCUUUCCAAUUUUCCUCCACAGAACGACCAUAACCACCAGGCUCCAAAGAACUUUGAAGUCACUGCCAGCUCCACCCCCGUGCCAAGCACACAUGAGAUCCGAUAAUGAACUAGGCAUGACCCAUGGCAUAUGGAAUUUGCCUAGGAUAAUGGACCAAAUGACAGAAACACAAGGGCAAUGGAGAAAAAGUUGAUUAAUGGCUUCCCUGAUGCCACAAUAGAGAAUGCAAACAUUAGGGAGGAUCAUUCCCCUGCACUGAAGUUUGUCCACCAUGAGGCAGCAAAACUUUUCAAGGGAAAGUGCCAUCCUACUUUCCAAAACUGAACCUAUAAGCACCAACCCUGUCAUUUGUGAUGGUUUCUGGUUCUGUUGCAGCUCAUCUUUGUAUAUGUGGAAAUGGACAAUGUGGAUGUUGGGAAACCAGUUUCAGAUUACCUUGGUGUGACUGGAGAUGGUCCGAAGGUUCUAGCAUACACAGGAAAAGACGACUCCAAGAAGUGUAUUCUCAAUGGCGAAGUGACUUUGGAAAAUGUUAAGGUUGGAUAUGAGAUCUCAUGCAACAAGGAAUUAUAAGUAGGUGGGUCCCAUCAUAUGGAAGAACCAACAAAAUUUUGAGGCCAACUUAAUGAACGGUUUAGAUAUUACCCUAUAGCUAGUAGACCAACCGGGACAGAAACAUUAAGAAUAGUGGGACUCAUAAAUCUAAAAAGGAAAUGGAAAGUGUUGGUCGACCGACUCUAAAAAUAGACCGUCGCAGCUACCAGAUGAAAAUGCAUGGCUGUGUCAAAGCAGGAGAGUUGGAGAGAGAAAAAGAUUCUAAUUUGUCUCCGAAGACGGUCUAAUUUGGAUUGGACCCUCUCUAGCUAUAGUAUCCGGUCAGGAGUCGGGUUAGGAUAGAGUUUAUGCUUCAUACUGGGGAAGGCCACCCAUUCCAUUUUAAGAAGUGGUUGUGGAAGAGAAGUUAUUCGAGGUCUAGAGGAAAGGAAGGAGAAAUAUAUUCUAGAUUUGUGACAGGAUGAAGAGGAAAUUUUUUUUUUCAUAUUGAUCCAAAACUUCUGUGAAUCCCAAAAGGGUUUCAAAUGGAAGACGUUCAAUCCUCCACUGCUUUUUUCAGUGUGGUCCAUUUGAUCAUUAUAUUUGUUUUAUUUUUCAUUUCAAGCCCUAUGACGAGAUCAAAAAAUGUAUGGACAGUUUGGAUAUAGCACAUACCUCAUGAUGGAACCCACAGAACUUACAUCAAUACACCAACUAUAUAGCUGGUGUGUGGUACACCAGCCAAUCUAAGGGAAGCGGAUUGGCCAGUGUAACUCACACCAGCUGUGGAGCUGCUGUAUUGACAUCAGCAAGUUCCGUGGGUCUGAUCACGAGGUAUGUGUCUUGAGACGAAAAAUAAGACAAAUCUAACUAUCAGGUGGACCACACUGCAAAAAGCAGUGGGGGGAUUGAACAUCUACCAUUGAAACCCUUUUUGGGGUCACAGAAGUUUUGGAUCAAUAUGAAAUUUGUUUUUCCUCUUAAUUCAGGUCUUUGUAACCUUAUGAACCGAUU